rnacentral:rRNA from 1 species
CGCGUAGGUGGUUUGAUAAGCGAUAUGUGAAAUCCCCGGGCUUAACCUGGGAACUGCAUGUCGAACUGUCAGGCUAGAGUAUGGUAGAGGGGUGUGGAAUUUCCUGUGUAGCGGUGAAAUGCGUAGAUAUAGGAAGGAACAUCAGUGGCGAAGGCGACACCCUGGACCGAUACUGACACUGAGGCGCGAAAGCGUGGGUAGCGAACA